CAAUGGGCGAAAGCCUGNCCGAGCGAUGCCNCGUGAGUGAAGAAGGCCCUAUGGGUUGUAAAGCUCUGUCAGAUUGGGAAGAAAAUCUGCGGUUAAUACCCGUGGGACUUGACGGUACCAUCAGAGGAAGCACCGGCUAACUCCGUGCCAGCAGCCGCGGUAAUACGGAGGGUGCAAGCGUUGGUUCGGAUUCACUGGGUAUAAAGGGUGCGCAGGCGGCCUGAUAAGUCAGAGGUGAAAUAUGCUCGGCUCAACCGCGCAAACUGCCCCUGAAACUGUCAGGCUUGAGUUCGAGAGAGGUAGGUGGAAUUCCAGGUCUAGCGGUGAAAUG
rnacentral:rRNA from 1 species